rnacentral:rRNA from 1 species
AGUCAAUAGAUACCCUGGUAGUCCACGCCGUAAACGAUGGUCACUAGGUGUGUGUGGUAUCGACCCCACACGUGCCGCAGCUAACGCAAUAAGUGACCCGCCUGGGGAGUACGGCCGCAAGGUUGAAACUCAAAGGAAUUGACGGGGGCCCGCACAAGCGGUGGAGCAUGUGGAUUAAUACGUCACUAACCGUAGAACCUUACCCAGGCUUGACAUCCCCGGAACCUUCCUGAAAGGGAGGGGUGCCUCGCAAGAGGAGCCGGGAGACAGGUGUUGCAUGGCUGCCGUCAGCUCGUGUCGUGAGAUGUUGGGUUAAGUCCCGCAACGAGCGCAACCCUCACCGCAUGUUGCCAGCGUCAAGUCGGGCACUCUUGCGGAACUGCCCGGGUAACCGGGAGGAAGGUGAGGACGACGUCAAGUCAGCAUGGCCCUUACGCCUGGGGCUUCACACAUGCUACAAUGGCCGGUACAGAGGGUCCCGAUACCGUGAGUGGAGGCAAUCCCAAAAAGCCGGUCUCAGUUCGGAUCGCAGG